CGAUAUAAUAAUGAGCAGAAUUGAUGGAGAUAUCAAGGAUAUUACUUAAAUUAAACAAUAAAUAAUACAGAUUAUUAAAACAAAAGAACAUUGAACAAAUAACAAGCAAACCCGAUCAUUUCGGGAAGCAUACAUCAAAUUUUGGCUGAGGAAACGGAGUUGCCAAAAAAAGGCCAAAAAGGAAUAAAAAUCAUGGAAUUAAAUGGCGAAAAUGACUUAAUAGUUAAAAUUAGUAGUAGGUCGGAGGAGGAGAUGCUGAUGGGGGUGGAGGUGAAGCAUAGGUGGCGGAUUUCUCGUACUUCUCAGGCGGUGCUGGUGACACAUAGGUAGGAGUUUGCUUGUAAUAGUUUGUUGGUGGUGGAGGUGAGUAAUAAGAUGGUGAUUUUUCAUAGGUCUUUGGUAGAGAUGGCAAGUUGUAAGUUAUAGGUGGUUGCUCGUAGUAUUUUGGUGGAGGUGGAGGAGAUUUAUAAGAAGGUGUAGAUCCUUUGUAGUAUGGAGGAGGUGGAGAUUUAUAAGAAGAUAGUGAUUGCUCAUAGUAUUUUGGUGGGGAUGGAGAUGACUUGUAAUAAGGUGAUUGCUUUAUAGUAUGGUGGAGGUGGAGAUUUGUAAGAAGAUGGUGACUGCUCAUUGUAUGUUGGAGGAGGUGGGGGUGAAUUAUAGUACGAAGGUGAUUUCUCAUAAUAAGUUGGCGGUGGUGGAGAUUUAUAGUAAACUGGGGACUUGUAAUUUUUUUUUGGUGCCGGUAACUUAUAAUAUUUAGAAGGAGCAGGUGAUUUAUAGUAUUUUGUUGCGGAUGGUGACGUGUAGUACUUUGCAGGUGAUGGCGCUUUGUAGUACUUUGCAGGUGAUGGUGACUUGUAGUAGUUCAAUGAAGGAGCUGGUGACUUGUAGUAUUUUGAAGGAGCUGAUGACUUGUAGUAUUUUGCAGGAGCUGGGGACUUGUAGUAUUUUAUGGGAACUGGCGAUUUGUAGUAUUUUACAAGAGCUGGCACCUUGUAGUAUUUUGCGGGAACUGGCGAUUUGUAAUAUUUUGCGGAAGCUGGAGAUUUGAAAUAUUUUACAGGAGUUGGCCACUUGUAAUAGUGCUUUACGCUGGCGAUUUGUAGUGUUUUACAAGAGCUGGCACCUUGUAGUAUUUUGCGGGAACUGGCGAUUUGUAAUAUUUUGCGGGAACUGGAGAUUUGUAAUAUUUUACGGGAGCUGGCGACUUGUAAUAGUGCUUUACAGGAAGAGGUGACUUAUAGUAAGGAAUAGGUACAUGAUACUUGGAUGGAGAUGGAGAUUUGUAAUACUUCUUAGAGGUGUAAGAAGGUGAGGGAGAAGCAUACCCAUAAGAGUAAUCAGCAACGACAGAGCUGGCUAUAAAGCAAAUUGCCAAAGCAACUGCAAGUAAAGGCCAUUGUCCCAGCUUCCCUAUGCUUGUCAUUUUGCUUAUGAUACAACCAAUAUUUGGAGAAAGAAUGAAAAGAACUUAAACUUGACUUGCAUAUUGAGUAGUGAGCAUAUUUGGAGAAGAAUGAAAAGAACUUAAACUUGACUUGGAUAUUGAGUAGGGAGCUCUGGCUUUUAUAUAGGAACAUAAUAUUAUCAUUUUAGGGUUGUGUUAUUGGGCAUCCACUAAGAUUAUAGCUAAGUCAAAAUAUGGACUUCAUCUUUUCUAGAAUUAGUGGUAGGCAUUAUCUCCAGUCGAGUAGAAAACUCUGGUUUUUAUAUUUCAGUGAGAUAUCUUUAUUAAUUAGGACUAACAUUUAUGUAAUUGUUCUUGGUUAGCCACAAAGAUUAUAAAGCAAAGGCCAAAUAAAUAAGGGCCUUUUCACUUUUAAUCUGCCAAAAAUUAUUUAUAUUUAGUAGCCGAAAAAAUAUAUAAAUUUUUUUAUGAUUUUUAUUUAUAACAUAUAGAAUUUAUAUAUACAUAUAAAAUAUAUAUAUUUUUCGGCUAUUAUUUUGAGAGCUGCUAUAGAGUAUAAUUUUCUAAUAAAUAAUAAGCCAGUACUUAAUGGUUAGCUUUUUUCUGUUGACUGGAAAACAAUUUAGAGAUAAAUAUUAAAAAUGGAGAAAACAAUAAGGAUGCCACGACUUGCAUCCCAUUAGCGAAGAUUAAGUUGACUUUUACAAAUAAUUACGGUAUGCUAUUGAAUAUGCAGUUCAAAAACUAUCAGGAAAACCAGCAAAUACACACAUCAGAGUAUACCUUAAGGGGUCAUUUGAUUCAGUUAUAGAAUAUUCAAUGAGACUAUAAUUCUGGGAUAGGGUGGUUGAAGUAAGGUUGAGAAUGACGGUGUCCGUUUCCGACAACCAGUUUGAUUUCACGCCGGGUCGUAUUACUGCUGAAGCUAUACAUCUUGCUAGGAAGUUGGUUGAACGGUAGAGAGAUAGAAAGAAAUAACUGCACAUGGGGUUAUUAUGGGGUUACCCCAAGGUUUUGCACUCAUUCCGUUCCUAUUCGCCCUAGUGAUGGACGCUUUAUCACAUCACAUUCAAGAGGAUGGGCCAUGGUGCAUGCUAUUUACAGAGACAUAGUUUUGAUUGAUGAGUCACGAACCAGUGUUAACGAGAGGCUGGAGGUUUAGAGGCAUGCUCUUAAAUCUAAGUUUUUCAAGCUUAGCACGACAAGACGAAAUACCCGGAGUGUAUGUUCACCGCUGAACAGAGGGAAGUGGGUGUGAAUGUGAGGCUUGAAUCCCAGGUCAUCCCGAGUAGAGACAUCAUCAAGUACCUUGGGUCGGUUAUCCGNNNNNNNNNNNNNNNNNNNNNNNNNNNNNNNNNNNNNNNNNNNNNNNNNNNNNNNNNNNNNNNNNNNNNNNNNNNNNNNNNNNNNNNNNNNNNNNNNNNNNNNNNNNNNNNNNNNNNNNNNNNNNNNNNNNNGGGGGGGGGGGGGGGGAAGAUCGACAAGGAUGUUACACACCGUAUUGGGUAGAAUUGAUAAAGUGGAGGUUAGCAAAUGGAGUAUUGUGUGACAAGAGAGUGCCACUGAUACUCAAACGUAAGUUCAAUAAAGCGGUGGUUAGGCCGGCCAUGAUAUAUGGGGCAGAGUGUUGGCUAGUUAAUAAAUCACAUACCCAGAAGAUGAAGGUAGCAUAAAUGAGGAUGUUGAGGUAGAUGUGCGGGCAUAUUAGGAUUGAUAAGAUUCGGAAUUAUGAUAUUUGGGAGAGGUGUGCGUAGCUCCCAUUGAUGACAAGAUGUGGGAAGUAAGGCUCAGAUGGUUCCGGCAUGUUCAGAGGAAAAGCCCAGAUGCUCCGGUAAGGAGGUGCGAACGACUGGUUGUGGAGGGCACGAGAAGAGGUAGGGGCGGCCUAAGAAGCAUUAGGGGGAGGUGAUUAGGAAGGAGAUGACGAGUCUUCAGAUUUACGAGGACAUGGCACUUGAUAGAAAUAUGUGGAGGUUGAGUAUGAGGGUUGCACGUUAAGAGGUAGUCGAGUCUUGUCUUAUGCCAUAACUUUGUGUGACUAGUUUGGUAGGGAUACUAUUUUGCUUUUGGUUUGUAUCAUUCUUCUUAAUUGCAUGUUGUUUCUAUUUUUUGUAUUUUUUCACAUUAUAUAUGUGGUGUUACUAAUAUUAUCUUCUUUUGUAUUUUUGUCUUCUUGAGCCGAGGAUCUUUCGAACCACAACUAGAUCAUAAUUUUUUUAAUAUUUGAGAGAGCUUCUAUUGUUAAAAAUUGUAGUGAGAUAGAAUUGAACUCACAACCUAUUCUAACUUAAGAGUCUAUUAAAACAAUGGAUUAAGGUUAUUUCUUAUUGAGUAAUAUGAUAAUUAAUAUUAUUUACUAUGUGCUCUUCUAUAAAUAUCGACACCAUUUACGAAAAAUCAUACGUACGCCCCUACAUUUGGUAUGAAUACUAUUUCGGUAUUAGCUUAUAUCCACAUUCAAAUAGGAGAUAACUAUUCACAAAUUUUAUACACGGAUUAAUAUCUUUAUCAUGUUAACCAAAUGACCCCUAAAUGUAUCGGUAUGAGUGUAUUGAGAAAAUUUGAGUUUACAUAAUAAAGUGGAAUAAAGAUGACGUCUCAAGGACACGUAGACUGAUAAAAAAUUUUCAACUGGCAAAGAGAUACGAGUUGCAACAGAUACGAGCAAAGACUGAGGAAGAGGCACGGGUAGUUAUUCAAAUGACUCAGCGCCCGUACCUAUUUAAGUCCUUGAAGUCCGAGAAUCAAAGGAAAUGAGUCUGAUAAUAUAAAAGAAUACAGAUAUAGCAUUUAAUGUUGAAUACAUUAGGGAAUCUGUAUUAAUAUAAUUAUUAUGUAACGUAGCAUUCAAUGUCUUUAAUUACUCAUAAUAUCCUCAUUAUGGCAUAGGCAAAAUGUUUUAAAGGGAGAUAAUUGAUCUAUUGUUAGGACACGAAUUACUAUCUGAUUAUACAUUGGUUUACUUGAUUCUAAUUAUCUUAACUCUAGCCAACUUACUUUCUUUUAUACAUUCUUUCGAUUAUCAGUAACCCAUAUUCUUCUAAAUUAUCGCUUUGACUAAAAUCUCUUUUUUCUUGUUAAACAAAUUGGUUUCGUUACCGCGAAUAUGAUAAUCUAUUCUCUUUUAACUUAACUUUCCUUGCUGCAUCCACCAUUUCGAACAACAAGGAAAACAUUCAAGGAAACCAAGAAAACUAAUAACUUCAGGGAGACCCACAUGAUAAUAACGCAAUGAUUACUUCUCCACGAGGCUCUCCAUGUCGAUCUCGUGAAGGCACUCCUAAUGGAUCUCAUACAAAUGGACAGGCUCAACUUAAAAAUGUUUAAGCUAUGGAUGAGGCUUUGCAAAAACUUAUUGCCUCACAGGUAAAUAAAGCUCUUCAGGAUAUAUUAGCCAGUUUCUUGUUGCACCAUCCACACCUACUCCAAAUAAUAAUACUUUGGAGAACCCUCAUUCCGGGCUUGUUAAUUCAGGUAAUGGUGGAACCCCCAGCAAAUCAUAGGAAGGAAAACCAGGUAACUUAGUUAAUUCUGAUUUGAAAAAUUCAGUACUAACAUUGCAUAAACAGCUCAAGGAGUGAAGUGACCGCAUAUCGCAAAUACCCUAUGUACUGCCCCUAUUCAAAGGGGUAGAUAUGGAUAAAUAUUCACAAUAACCGUGGAAGCUAUGUUUUGCUCCCCUCCCAAUUCCAAAUAAAUUCAAAAUGCCUGAUAUUCCAAAAUACGAUGGAACAAUAGACCCACAUGAUUACAUGACUGCAUUCACGACAGGCGUAAAAGGAAAUGAUUUGACAAAGCAGGAGAUUGAAUCAGUAUUGUCAAAAACUUUGGAGAAACACUCACCAAGUAUGCAUUAACAUGGUAUUCUCUUUUACCCAAAAAUUCUAUAAAUUCUUUUGAUGAGCUUUCAUAUUCUCUCAUCAAAGCAUACUCAGGAGUUCAAAAAUUUGAAAAAGAGGAUGGAAGAUAUUUUCAAUAUCAAGCAAGGGGACUCAAAAUUACUUAGGGAGUUCGUAGAUAGAUUCCAACGUAAAAGAACAAUCUUGCCCCGUGUACUUAAUAAUUGGGCCGCUAUAGCUUUCACAAGUAAUUUGAGAGAAAAAAGGUCAGAAGCUACAAGGCGACUCAAGGAAAGCCUUUGUGAAUUCCCAGCUAUAACAUGGAAUAACAUUUACAACAGGUAUAGUACGAAGUUGAGAAUAGAAGAAGAUAUCGUUCCUCGAUUUCAAAAAAAGGAAAAAGGGUAGCGCGAGAAGGGCGAAAACCGAAAAGAGGUCCGGUAAAAAUAGGUACGAGCCAUACAUGGGAUUUGUGGGAAAAGACUCACGGUCAAAAUAGGACUAUCAAAGGUAUAAUCCCAGAUCAAGGAAUAGAGAGUUAGGAUCUUCAUCAAGAUUUGGGAAUUAUCGAAACACCCAAGAGUCACGAGAUGAGGAUAGAGCGGUUACAAUUUCAAUGCAAGCACGUACGAACUCGUAGCUGCUUUAAGAAACAUGGGUAACAAGGUAUGAUGGCCAAAAGAGAUGAGAUCGAAUCCAAUCAGAGGCAACUCUGACCAUUGGUGCGAGUUUCAUAAUGAUCACGGGAACAAGAUGGCAGAAUGCAGGUUUUUAUAAAGUGAAGUUGAUCAUCGAUUAAAACAGGGGUACCCCACCGAGUUAUUCAGUGAGAAAGGUAAACAAGCUUAUAUGAAGAAUAGGAGGAGCCUCCAAAAUCACCUUCACCCAAAAAGACCGUCAAUGUCGUAAGCGGAGGGGAAGAUAUCAACGGUGUGACAUACAAGACAUCCAAUAAAGUUUCUAAGGUCACCAUUACCCACAUAAAGCGGGUGCGACAUGUCUUAGAAGAAGAAAGUAUUACCUUUGAUGAUGCAAAUGCGGGUGGCGUAUUAUCUCCACAUAACGAUGUACCGGUAAUAACUCUACUUGUACAUGAUACUAAUGUACAACGAGUUUUGAUUGAUCCAGGAAGUUCUGUAAAUAUUAUCCUACUAAGGGUACAGUACGUGAAAUGCAAGCUAAUGAUAAUUUAGUACCAAAGGCGCAUACUCUGUCUGGAUUUGACAAUUCCAGCAUCGUAAAAAAAAGGAGAGGCAAUACUUACUACUUUCGCAGAAGGUGUAAUCAAAGAUACUAAGUUUCAGGUAGUAGAUAUUGAGAUGUCCUAUAAUAUGAUCCUUGGGAAACCAUGGAUUGACGAGAUGGAUUUUUUUCCAUCAACCUUACAUCAAAUUAUUAAACUCCCAUCAACAUGGGGAAUAUGUCAAAUCCGUGGGGAUCAACAUACAUUUAGAAGCAUCAAUUCUGUAGCAGAUUCAAGUACAAGAAAUGAAGAAAUAUUGCAACUGCAGAAUCGAAUUGAGGAAAUCACAACAUAAACCUCCAAUUGACAAGAGCAUAUUGAUGUGGACUCAAGGGCAGACACCAUUCAACAGCCAGAGGGAAAUGAAAAUACCAAAUUAACGAUUGAAGAAUUAGAAGUCGUAGUAUUAUUCGAACAAUGGCCUGAAAGGAAAGUUUAUGUGGGAGCCAAUCUGAGCCCAGAUAUGAAAAUUAUGUUAAUUGGAUUCUUAAAAGCUAGCGUGGAUUGUUUUUCUUGGUCCCACUCUGAUAUGACAGGAAUACCACCGGAGGUAAUGACUGACAAGUUAAACGAAGACCCAUUUUAUUCUCAUAUCAAACAAAAGAAGAGAAAGCAAGGAACUUUCCAAAAUCAAGUGAUUCAAGAUGAGGUUCAAAAAUUACUAAAUAUUGGGUCUAUCCGCGAGGUAAAGUAUCAUAAUUAGUUAGCUAAUACUGUUGUCGUACCAAAAGAAUGGUAAGUGGCGAGUUUGUGUAGAAUACACAGAUCUUAAUAAAGCAUGUCCUAAAGAUUCUUUUUCAUUACCACAUAUAGAUCAACUAAUUGAUGCUACUGCAGGGCAUGUGCUAAUAAGUUUUUUAGAUGCAUAUUCAGGGUACAAUUAGAUCAAAAUGGAUCCAGUGGAUGAUGAAAAAACUUCAUUCAUACCAAGCAGGGGGACUUACUUUUAUAAAGUAAUGCCAUUUGGUCUGAAAAAUGCCGGUGCAACAUAUCAAAGGUUGGUCACUAAAAUGUUUCAAGAAUAUUUGGGAAAAAACAUAGAGGCUUAUAUAGAUGAUAUGCUAAUUAAAACUUAGCAUUCAAGGUAUCAUAUAUCUCAUUUAUCUGAUACAUUUCAAAUUCUGUGCAAAUUUAACAUGAAGUUAAAUCCCGAGAAAUGUGCAUUUGGCGUCGCAUCAAGUAAGUUUUUAGGUUUUCUUGUUUCUAACCAUGGUAUUGAAAUGAAUCCCGCACAGAUUAAGGCCAUUGAAGAAAUCCCUGACAUGAUUUCAAGCAAAAAAAAAGUUCAGAGAUUAACAGGAAGAAUUGCAGCCUUGGGAAGAUUCAUUUCUAAAUCAUCGUAAAAGUGUUGUAUAUUCUUCUCACCUCUAAAAGAGCAAGAUUAUUUUGAAUGGAAUGAGGAAUGUUAGCAGGCACUUAGAAAUUUAAAAACAUACUUAUCAAAUACACCGUUGCUCGCAAAACGAAAGGUUGGGGAAAGAUUACUUAUUUACCUUGUUGUUUCAGAAAUAGCAGUAAGUGUUGUUUUAGUCCGAGAAGAACAAAGUAAAGAAUACCCCAUCUAUUAUGUUAGAAAAUCUUUGUUAGAUACAGAGACAUGGUAUCCGCAAUUGGAAAAACUUGCAUUUGCAUUUAUCAUGGCAUCUAGGAAGUUAAGACCUUAUUUUCAGUGUCAUCCUAUUGUUGUAGUAAUUGCUUACCUGUUACGUAAUAUAUUACAUAAGCAUGAAUUGUCGGGAAAGUUAGCUAAGAGGGAUGUUGAAUUGAGAGAAUAUUAUAUCAGUUACCAACCUAGAACCGCUAUAAAAUUUCAGGUAUUAGCGGAUUUCGUGGCUGAUUUUAGCCAAGGGAUGCAAUUAGAAGAAAACAAAGAAUUGCAGGUGUUCAAUGGAGCUAACCCAGGGACCUAGACCUUAUUCACUAAUGGUUCAUCCAAUGUAAAAGUUGCACGUUUUGGGAUCGUUUUGGCACCAACUAUGGGUGAAACCAUUCGAAAAGCUAUCAAAUGUAAUUCUAUAAUUAACAGUGAGGCAGAAUAUGAGGUUGUGAUUGCAGGUUUAGAGCUGGCACAAGAACUCGGCAUAAAUUAGAUUGUAAUCAAAAGCUAUUCACAACUCGUGGUUAAUUAAAUGUUGGGGAGUUAUGCAGCCGAAGAGGCGAGGAUACAUCAGUAUUUAGAAAAGGUACGGGAAUUGAUAAUGCAAUUUAAAACCUAGAAAGUUGCACAAAUACCAAGGGAUGAAAAUGUUUAAGCAGACGCUCUAGCUAAUCUCGCAUAUGUACUGUGGAGUUAUAUAGCCGGAGAGGCGAGGAUGCAGCAGUAUUUAGAAAAGGUACGGGAAUUGAUAAUGCAAUUUAAAACCGAGAAAGUUGCACAAAUACCAUGGGACGAAAAUGUUUGAGCGGACACUCUAGCUAAUCUCGCAUAUGUAGCUGACAUGGAAAACGAUGCAAACACUUCAGUUAUUCAUUUAUUUUAUUCAGCCCUUGACCUGGAUAAGAAUGAGGUAAGUUUUAAUAACUUUACUUGGGAUUGGAGGAAUGAGAUUGUUGUUUUUUUUGCAGUAUGGUACUGUCCCUGAUGAUAAAAAGAAGCACAUGCACUUCAAAAAAGGGAUGCUCCGUACUGCUUAAAGCAAAAAAAUCUUUAUCAUAAAAUGAUCGGUGAUCCCUUAGCAAGAUGCCUCGGACCUUCUCAAACAGAGUAGGUAAUGAGAGAAAUACACAAAGGACAUUAUGGAAAUCAUGCAGGUGGAAGAUUCCCGGUAAGAACCUUAAUUAGGAAAGGUUAUUACAGGCCUAAAAUAGAAUAGAAAGCAGAAAGUUUCGUGGCUAAAUGUGACAAAUGGCAAAGGUAUGGUAACAAUAUGCAUAGACCUGCGGAGUUAUUACAUCUAGUCAUUUCACUGUGUCCAUUUAUGAAAUGGGGAAUGGAUAUCGUGGGUCCAUUACCACAAGCAAAAGGACAUUCAAAGUUUUUUCACGUACUCACUGAUUAUUUUACUAAAUGGGUAGCCGCAAGAGAAUUAAAAUAGGUGCAAGAAAAGGAAGUCAAAGAAUAUAUUUGGUGGAAUAUUAUAUGCUAACUCGGUGUACCAAAGGAGAUCGUAUGUGAUGAUGGCCUUCAGUUUAUAGGAGCUCAAAUCACGGAAUUCUUUCAAAGUUGGUAGAUUAAAAGGAUUACAUCUACACCUUAUCAUCCGAUGGGUAGUGGGCAAGCAGAAUCACUAAACAAAGUCAUUAUCAACAAUUUAAAGAAGCGCUUAGAGGAAUAAAAAUGUAACUAGCCUGAAUUGUUGCCUUGAGUUUCAUGGGCAUAUCGCACAACAACAAAAAUGAGUAUAGGAGAAAAACCAUUUUCAUUGGUUUAUGGUGCUGAAGCUUUAAUUCUAGUUGAUAUAGGAUAACCGAGUGCACGGUUCAAACAUGCCAUAGAAAAAUCUAAUGACGAGGAGAUGCGGGUCAACCUUGAUUUAUUCGAAGGAAGGAGAGAAGUUGCACUAAUAAGAAUGGCAGCACAAAAACAAUUCAUAGAACGAUAUUACCACCGAAAAUCACGCCUCAAAUUCUUCAAAAUUUAGGACUUCAUGCUCAAAAGGUUAUUCAAUCUAGAAAGACAGCGAACGCGGGUAAAUUAAGCCCAACAUGGGAAGGACCCUAUAGAGUUCGUGAUAUUGAAGGAAUAAGAGCAUAUGAACUGGAGACAAUAGAUGGAAAGAUACUACCUUCACAUUGGAAUGUUGUUCAUCUGAAGAGAUACUAUUUCUAAGGAAUACCCACGGUCAGGUAUCCAUGUUUUAAAUUUAAUUUUUGAAUUGAAUUGUUAAAAUUUUACUAACAAUUUUAGAUGAUAGGCAAAAAGUUAACCCGUACUAAUUGAUGAGUUACGACUUGUAAGGCACAUAGAAUAAACUAAAAUUUCUAGCCUAGGGUUACAAUUAUUCUGAUAGAAAUACAAACAGGUUGAGCAGUCUUCAUCAAUAAUUGUACCUCCGAGUCCCGUGAAUUUUUCAUUUUCAAGAAAUGACCAAAUGAGAGGAACAAUCAAGUGUUCGAGGCUUCAUACUUCAACGCUCAAACACUUGGGGACUACAUAAUUUACACAUGCAUGUGUAUAAAGAAGACAAAGAAGAUUGAGAAAAAUCAAAGACCAAGCCUGAAAAACUCAAGUGCACAGAAAAAAUCACGAAGUCACGAGCUAGGACAAAUAAAAACCUUACUAUAGUUAGGGUAAAGGCUAUGUAGUGAAAUGGGUCAUAAGGAAAAACCUCCUAUUUAUUAUAUGUACUAAAAUGGGUUAUGAGGAAAAACCUUGUGUAUACUAUUCUUCUUUUCUAAAAUUUGUUACAAGAAAAACAGUGAAGAGAAAGUUAUAGAUGUAAUUUAAAUACAUGUAAAGUAUUAUUCAAAACUAGACAAGGUUCAAAGAAACAUGUGUGUUCCUAUUUCUUUUAUCGUAUGUUAAUACCAUUAUGAAGUUGAGACGUCUUCUUCAUUAAGUGUCGAAAUAUAAAAGGUCCUCUUUUAAAAACUUAUAUUUAAAUUAAUUAGUCAUGAGGAUAAUAGAAGCAUUUUUGAAGAAAAAAAUGCAAAAUAUUCUGUAAUUCCUUAAGAAUAAAGACAAGAAUAAAAUAAACAUAAGUUCAAGAUAAUAACAUGAAAACUUCUUAAUAGUUACAAACUUAAGACUAUGUAUGAACUUAGUCGAAAAACUAUGAAUUGUUUAUACAGAUUGCCCCAUGAAAAGACUUGGGGACUUGCCUUUCCAAAAUCAACCAUCAAAUGAAGCCUAGUGUUUGAUUACAAUUUUCCAAAUAAAAAAACAAAGUCAUUCAAAUAACUAAGGUUGGUCACUGAGAAGUAGGAGGAACUGAAACAAGAGCAUCAAUAGCAACAGGCUCAGUUUGGGCGGGUGCAUCAACAGUUGUGGGUUCAACGUGACUUGCAGCAACAUGAUCGACUAGGCUUGAAAGAAUUGGGAUUCUGGAAUCGACUUCAAUGUUCAUAGAAGCUUCAGCCACGGGAGAAGGAAACUCUUGAUUUUGCUGAACUUUCUCAGUGGUUUCAUUGAUCUUAGCCAACUCAGAUUCCAAGUUGAAGUUUUCUUGGCUAGCUUCGAUUAGGGUAUCACGGCGGAAAUUCAAAAAUUCCCAACUCACCUCAAUAGCACAUUUAUCUUUAAGGGGAUCAUAAUCCCCUUUCCCAAUCAGAAAUCUCAUUAAUUAGCUUCUCAAUUUUAGCCAAGGCAGAGUUGUAAGAAGUUUGAAGAGAGGCAUGGGAGCUUUCUAAAGCAUGCACCUUAUGAGAAGAGACUCGAAGGUCUGCUUGUGCUUGAGUUAAACUUUGCACGAGCUCCCCAGCGUAAGUUUCUUUUUUUCUCAAGAGAGCCUUCAACUCUCUAUUUUUUUCACUAGACUUGGAUAGUUGUUCUGAGAAGGAAGAUUCAAGACGCUCUUUUUUCUUUUUCUGGCUGGCUUGAGAAAGCUUUUACAACUUCUAACUCUAAGGUUAAAUCCCGCACAUGUUGUUCCAAGGUACUCGUGCUCUCUUCUAAGAACUCCACAUCAAUUUGUAAGCUCUCGAACUGUUCCUUCCAGUUGCACGCAUCUAAUUGAGAAUCACGUGCUAACUGCUCCAAGAGGGGGAUUCUGUUCAUUUCUGUGCCCUAUAAGAUUGGCCUAAAAAAAAGAGGAAGGAUAAUAAGAAUCCCAAAGAUAGGGAAAUUACAAAGAAAAAAAGAGAAGGUGAAUACCUUCUAAGUGCAUGCACAAUAUCAUUCAUCAGAGUCAGGGAGCUAUGGCUCUCCAACUUGGCUUUUUCAAUUGGGCCAACUAAAGGCUCUAGCCAAACAUCCGCCUGACCUGACUUCCUCACAAGACUGCUCUCAACAGGAACUUCAAUGACAACCUUCUUAAUAGCAGCACUUCUACUUGAAGAACCCACUUCAGUAUGAUGAAUUAUUGGAGGAGGAAUUGUGAAGGAGGAGGAGUAGAAGAGGUAAAAACAGUCGAGGAAAGAACACAAAAAGCUAGCGUUGUCAAGGAAGGAAUCAGAGGCACGAGUGUUGAAAUAAAAAAGAAGCUAAUAGUGUUUCGUGUAAAACAUGCCCUAAACCUCCACUACCAAAGCCACUUAUAAAAAGUUGUUUAAUGGACUCACGAGUAUCAGUGGAAGUGACAUCAUCAUCUGAAGUUAUUACCAAGGCUUCUAUUGGCUCGGUGAGAGGAAUGGAAAGACGGGGAGACGCUUCAGCAUCAUCAUCAGAAAUGAUACGUCUUCGAGCCCGCGACCUUGUAACCAAAGAGCCCCCAUAUUCUUUUUCUUCUUCAGAAUCUUUUUCUUCAAUAGCUUUUCUUUUUGCUGAAGUGCCAAGACUAUUUCUUGAGCCCUUUCUAAAGAGAUAUAGGUUCUUAAAGAGAUGCGGGAAGCCGCAACUACCUAGGCAAUAACUCCCCGAAUAGCAAAUUAUUAUAAAAAGAAAGAUUGAAGUUAGAAUAAUAAAAAUAUAUAUACAUGAAAGAUGAAACAAAAUAAAAAUUAUUACCAUGAGUUUUUACUUUCCAACCAUAAUGGUUAGAAAGUGACUUCCAAGACCUACCAUUGGUGCGGUCUUCAACAGCUUGUCUACCCAAUUACGGAAAUUGGGAACAUCCUCCACAACUCCCAUGGUUGCUAAAAAAAAGUAAGAAAUGUUGAUAAACUUGAAGAAAAACGCACAAGAAGGAUACAAGACUUACGUGCAAAAUUCCACUUCUCAGGAAAGGGAACGUUUUCCUUUCCCGCUAAUCCAACAGUGGGGGGCAGCAACAAACCGGGCAUGCCCGCCAUAGUCUUUAUCAUCCUCAAGGCUCACCAAAACCCUCUUGCUCUUGGCUACUAGUGUAAAAAUACCAUUGCGAAAGAGCCUAGGGGAGUAAGGGUGAAUCAAGUGAGGGAAAGUAAAGGAAACACCGGGUGUAUUGGUCAAAUGCCUCAAAAAGGCAACAUCCCUCCAUAUGAUUGGGACAAUUUGACCCCAACUGACGUCGAAGAAACGAAAAAAAUUCAAGAAUGCCUGGGUCAAUAGCUGGUCUAAACCCUAAAGUGAAAGAGUAUGUAUAAACAAAAGAAACCCAGUUAAGUAAGAGGCGAUUCUUUGAUUUGGAUAGGGAUAAUAAUAGAAAAAUCACUACUCCAAUGAUAGUCUUUACGAACUAUAGAAAUCAAACCUUCAGUUUUUUGAGUGGGAUAGACAUCAUCACGAUCUAAAGAAGACACUUGAUUCCGAAAAGACUCUCUGUCAUGAUAAAAAGACAAUUAUGAAGGACUAUCUCUUUUACUAAAGGUUCAUGUAAUGGUUUAGAAGGUUCUUUACCCCUAGAAGAAGAUUUUUGAGAAAGAGAACCCAUGUUUCUAGAAGAGGGACCAGAACUAGGACAGGGCAUAGAAGAACAACCACCAGCAGGCCCAAAACUACGAAGCGUACCUCCCCUUCUACUCCUAAUGGGGGCAUUAGGAAAAGUAUCAACUAUGGAAACUCUCCUAGGGUUAGGGUUUGAUGAAUACAUAGCGAAGAAGGAUGAUACGAGGAAGAAAUAAGGAAAGAAGUUAUAUUUAUAUUGAUAAGCAACCGCCAAAGGAAAAAAAGGCAAUGAUGGAGGGGAUAUAAUAAUGAAAACUGAUGCUUCGUGUACAAUGGAGCCGUAAAAGAACUUUAAAAGGGGCUUCAAAACUGCAGGACUAAUGUGAAAGUGACACGUGUGAAGAGCAUUAAAUAGAAGUGACAAUUGAGAAAAUUGAGUUUGCAUAAUAAAGUGGAACAAAGAUGACGUGUCAAAGACACGUAGAGUGGUCAAAAAGUUACAAUUAGCAAAGAAAUACGAGCAAAGGCUAAGGAAGAAGCAUGGGCAGUUAUUCAAAUGACUCAGCGCCCGUACCUAUUUAAGUCCUUGAAGUCCUAGAAUCAAAGGGAAUAAAAAAGAGUACAGAUACAACAUUUAAUGCCGAAUACGUUAUGGAAUCUGUAUUAAAUAUAAUGAUUAUGUAACGUAGUAUUCAAUGUCUUUAAUUACACAUAAUAUCCUCAUUAGGGCAUAGGCAAAAUGCCUAUCUCCAAGGUAUCUAUAAAAGGGAGAUAUUUGAUCAACUGUGAGGAAACGAAAUACUAUCUGAAUAUACUUUGAUUUACUUGUUUCUGAUUAUCUUACUUCUAGCCAAAUUACUUUAUUAUAUAUAUUCUUUCGAUUAUCAGUAACCCGUGUUCUUCUAAAUUAUAGCUUUGACUAAAAUUUUAUUUUUUGGUUAAACAAUGAGAAUAACGUACAACCUGAAAUUGGACUAGGCACUCGUAAAACGGUUUGAGCCAGAUGUGGGAAAGUCUUGGCUCUUAAAAUUUGCGCUUCAAGCGCCCACAUGUACCCAUAAAAGGCAUCCGAGCCCAUCACAUGAGGCUCGUCCAAUUGAUUUUGUGCAAUCGAGUGUAAUUAGUUAUGUAAAUCCAUAAAUUCCUUAACCAAGCUGUCUAUAUUGACCAUAAAUCAUAAGUGAGAACAUUGCAAGCUUUGUCUUGUCUUUAAAACAUUAGGGGGUAAAGUUAACCUAUACCUAUAUUGGUGGAAGAAAGCAGACGCAGUCCAUGUUUUGUUAAACUUACCCAGACAACCAUUUAUUAUCGCGAGAGAUAACUUCAAAUAAUAGUAAGAAAAUGUUUCUUCAUUAAUUUACUUCACCUGAGGUACUCCAUUUAUUACCACGAGAGAGAGCUUCAAAUAAUUGUAAGAAAAUGUUUCUUGAUUCAAUUACUUCACCUGAGGUACAUAUCACAUUAUGUUUCCAAGAUUGUUUUUUUUUUCUUUUGAUGUUGGAUUGUUGAUGUUCCAUAUCUAUGCUAAUGUUUUCACAAUUAUAUUUAUUUAAUUAGAGUUUUAAAAGAUUAUUGUGUUUUUAGCAAUUUAUUUUUAACUAUCCUACUAUUUGUAGAUUUAUAAAUUAGUUAAAUUUAAAGAUUUAUGGGGCUUGCACACCAUGUCUGGAGCUACACUUCGCCUUGGGCGUCCAUCCUUCAAUACACUACGUCAAACCUUAAAGCGUUAACUUUGGAGCUUACACUUCGCCUUGGGCGUCCAUCCUUCAAUACACUACGUCAAACGUUAAAGCGUUAACUUUUGCCAUUUUUGUGCUUUUCAAUUUUUAUUUAAAUCUUUUCAACUAAGUUUGAAUAGAUGUUCAGGAGGUGUACUUAUGGACUAACGAAUGACUUCAGUCUAUUAAAGUACGCAGUAUUAGACAAAGAAGACGACACAAUUAAGAAAAGUAGAAUGCAAAGAAUCUCGAUAUAAUAAUGAGCAGAAUUGAUGGAGAUCUCAAGGAUGUUACUUAAAUUAAACAAUAAAUAAUACAGAUUAUUAAAACAAAAGAACAUUGAACACAUAAUAAGCAAACCCGAUCAUUUCGAGAAGCAUAUAUCAAAUUUUGGCUGAGGAAAUGGAGUUUGCCAAAAAAGGCCAAAAAGGAACACAUCAAAUUUUGGCUGAGGAAAUGAAGUUGCCAAAAAAAGGCCAAAAAGGAAUAAAAAUCAUGGAAUUAAAUGGCGAAAAUGACUGAAUAGUUAAAAUUAGUAGUAGGUCGGAGGAGGAGAUGAUGAUGGGGGUGGAGGUGAACCAUACGUGGCGGAUUGCUCGUACUUCUCAGGCGGUGCUGGUGACACAUAGGCAGGAGUUUGCUUAUAAUAGUUAGUUGGUGGUGGAGGUGAGUAAUAAGAUGGUGAUUUUUCAUAGGUCUUUGGUAGAGACGGCAAGUUGUAAGUUAUAGGUGGUUGCUCGUAGUAUUUUGGUGGAGGUGGAGGAGAUUUAUAAGAAGGUGUAGAUCCUUUGUAGUAUGGAGGAGGUGGAGAUUUAUAAGAAGAUAGUGAUUGCUCAUAGUAUUUUGGUGGGGAUGGAGAUGACUUGUAAUAAGGUGAUUGCUCAUAAUAUUUUGGAGGAGGUGGUGUAUGUUGGAGGAGGUGGGGGUGAAUUAUAGUACGAAGGUGAUUUCUCAUAAUAAGUUGGCGGUGGUGGAGAUUUAUAGUAAACUGGGGACUUGUAAUUUUUUUUUGGUGCCGGUAACUUAUAAUAUUUAGAAGGAGCAGGUGAUUUAUAGUAUUUUGUUGCGGAUGGUGACGUGUAGUACUUUGCAGGUGAUGGCGCUUUGUAGUACUUUGCAGGUGAUGGUGACUUGUAGUAGUUCAAUGAAGGAGCUGGUGACUUGUAGUAUUUUGAAGGAGCUGGUGACUUGUAGUAUUUUGCAGGAGCUGGGGACUUGUAGUAUUUUAUGGGAACUGGCGAUUUGUAGUGUUUUACAAGAGCUGGCACCUUGUAGUAUUUUGCGGGAACUGGCGAUUUGUAAU
rnacentral:lncRNA from 1 species